rnacentral:rRNA from 1 species
ACAAUAUGUGGUAAGUCCUGCCCAGUGAAUAAAACUUCAACGGCCGCGGUAUCUUAACCGUGCAAAGGUAGCAUAAUCAUUUGCCUAUUAAUUGUAGGCUAGAAUGAACGGAUAAACGAAAUAAAAACUGUCUCAAUUAGAUACCUAAAAAUUAUUAUUUACAUGAAGAAAUGUAAAUAUUUACGAAGGACAAGAAGACCCUAUAGAGCUUUAUUUAAAUAUAUCACACAGGUAUAAAAAAUUCGGUUGGGGCGACCUUGGGACUACUCAUCACCCAAAAAGAGACAGAUUAAUUAAUCUACUAAAUGACCCUUACUAAGAGCACAAAAACAAGCUACCUUAGGGAUAACAGGCUAAUCCCACUAUAGAGUCCAUAUCAACAGUGGGGGUUGGCACCUCGAUGUUGGCUUAGGGUAUCAAUAUAGCGCAAGAGCUAUAUAAAGAUGGUUUGUUCCACCAAUAUCCC